CGACGGCAGCACGGGUGCUUGCACCUGGUGGCGAGUGGCGAACGGGUGAGUAAUGCGUCGGAACGUACCGAGUAAUGGGGGAUAACGCAGCGAAAGUUGUGCUAAUACCGCAUACGCCCUGAGGGGGAAAGUGGGGGACCGCAAGGCCUCACGUUAUUCGAGCGGCCGACGUCUGAUUAGCUAGUUGGUGGGGUAAAGGCCUACCAAGGCGACGAUCAGUAGCGGGUCUGAGAGGAUGAUCCGCCACACUGGGACUGAGACACGGCCCAGACUCCUACGGGAGGCAGCAGUGGGGAAUUUUGGACAAUGGGGGCAACCCUGAUCCAGCCAUUCCGCGUGAGUGAAGAAGGCCUUCGGGUUGUAAAGCUCUUUCAGCUGGAACGAAACGGUACGCGCUAACAUCGUGUGCUAAUGACGGUACCGGCAGAAGAAGCACCGGCUAACUACGUGCCAGCAGCCGCGGUAAUACGUAGGGUGCGAGCGUUAAUCGGAAUUACUGGGCGUAAAGCGUGCGCAGGCGGAUUGUUAAGCAAGACGUGAAAUCCCCGGGCUUAACCUGGGAAUGGCGUUUUGAACUGGCAGUCUAGAGUGUGU
rnacentral:rRNA from 1 species